GAAUGAUACAAAGAAGAUUAGCAUGGCCCCUGCACAAGGAUGACACACAAAAUUCAUGAAGCGUUCCAUAAAAAA
rnacentral:snRNA from 1 species